rnacentral:lncRNA from 1 species
GGGAAGAUGUGCAAUUUUAAUAGACGUGUCUACGGAUAACGUUGGAAACAUUUUUUUAACCAUAUCAUUUUAACAUCUCGACAGUACCAUGUACUUUAUACUCGAUACCAAAGGAAAAAGCACACAGCUUUUUAUGAUAAUGUCUUGACACCAAGGGACCCUGACGGCCGAAAAUCUUCAAAGAUCAGCGUUGAAGUUCCGCGAGAAAAUAUAAAAUAGAUCAUUGGAUAAAACCCAGGAGUUAAACACGACCUGUCUUAUCUCUGGCCUGUCACCCGCUCUUGUCCUUCAGAGGAGGGAAAACGGGUGCUAAAAGGCGAUUAAAAACGACAAGUGACAACACUAUGGAAAUCACUCCGAAUAGCACACCUGCAUCUGAGAAAACACCGUCAUUGCAACACAGAACCAGAACAGGUUCAUUUGACAAAAGCGCAGGUAAAGACAUCGGCAAAGCAGAGGGCUUCAGACCACGCUGGGUCAGCGGUACCGACUCUAAUCAGUCUAAAGUUUUCUCUGAAUCAAACCCCCGAACGACAGCUGUAUUACGGUCAUUUAGUCUUAGGGACACCAUCUAAAAGUAAAUGGAGAGAAGCUGCUAACCUUUUAAACACUCCAACUAAAGGAGUUGAAAGGUUUCCGUCUAGAUUUGCGCCAAAACAACCAACAACCCCGGGUAAAGUAGACGUGACAAAACCAGAGGACCAGACCAAAACUUUAUCAACACCCACGAGAAAGACUCCUUUCGAGAAAAUCACGGCAAAGAAGGAUGCCUUUGAGAGAUUGGCUGGGGAAAAAGGGCCAACAAGUGGUGGCUGUAAAAAUGGCAAGCCUAGAGAGGCCAAAGAAGCACACACAGGUGACCGUGGAGGCUGCGAAACCUGGUGCAAUUCACAGUUCCAGGACGUUUCCGCUCAGUAGUCAAGGAGCAAACGUGGCCUCGACCUUUCCGUCAAUCCAUAGCGACGUAAGCGUGGCAAGGUCCUCUACCCCUGCACCAACAUCCUAUGUCUCGACCGAUCCUUUGGUCCGAUCCAAACCAGAUACCCUGAAGAUGGAGAACAGUGCUGUGACAGUUGCGGUCCGGGUGAGGCCAUUCAACACCAGGGAGAAGACGGAGAACGCAGGUGAUCUUCAUGGAUAA